rnacentral:rRNA from 1 species
GACAGCAGUAGCCGCGGGAAUACGAAGGGUGCAAGCGUUACUCGGAAUUACUGGGCGUAAAGCGUGCGUAGGUGGUGGUUUAAGUCCGUUGUGAAAGCCCUGGGCUCAACCUGGGAAUUGCAGUGGAUACUGGGUCACUAGAGUGUGGUAGAGGAUAGUGGAAUUUCCGGUGUAGCAGUGAAAUGCGUAGAGAUCGGAAGGAACAUCUGUGGCGAAGGCGACUAUCUGGGCCAACACUGACACUGAGGCACGAAAGCGUGGGGAGCAAACAGGAUUAGAUACCCGCGUAGUCCCUGUCUCUUAUAA